UCUGAGGACUACCUCUUCCAUCUGAUGGUGCACAAUCUUAAAAAAAAAAAAAGAAGAAGAAGAAGGAGGAGGAGGAGGAGGAGGAGGAGAUAUAGAGAAAAGAUGUCGCUGUUUGAGCCCGGCUUGGCCUGACUAGCUUUUUUCCUCCUCCUCCCGGCUUUUUUAAGAAGAUAUUUGUUUUUAUGGUUGUUUCUGUUUUUAAAACAAUCCACAUAAACAAACUAUUUGAUUUUAAUCAGCAUAAGUGUACUAACAAUCACAGUUGCAGUCCAAUAACAACCCCCAUGAUGAUCCAUCAUGUUCUUCCCAACAGGCAUUCGAGACUCCAGAAAACAAAGAAGAUGAUGAAAAUGGAUCAGCCCCUGUGUAACAAAGGAAGUGCACCAGUCGCACAGGUAGAUCUGGAAAAGCUAGGGUCAGAACUUGGGGGGAAUGAUGAAGGACACACAACAGAUGAUAUUGGUGAGUGGGGAUGGAUUCGAUGAACUUGGAAGGAAGAAAAGUCAAGCAGGGUGAAUUAAUUUGCUUUGCAUUUUUGCGUGAACAGUAAAAAAUAUAUAUAUUUUUUAAUUAUGUAUUAUUUAAAAAAUUAGUGUUUAAUAUUAUUCAAUGAUACUAUAUAAAUUAGAAGGA